CCGCACAAGCGGUGGAGCAUGUGGUUUAAUUCGAAGCAACGCGAAGAACCUUACCAGGUCUUGACAUCCCUGACAACCGAGAGAUCGGGCCGUUCCCCUUCGGGGGACAGGGUGACAGGUGGUGCAUGGUUGUCGUCAGCUCGUGUCGUGAGAUGUUGGGUUAAGUCCCGCAACGAGCGCAACCCUCGACCUUAGUUGCCAGCAUUCAGUUGAGAACUCUAAUGAGACUGCCAGUGAUAAACUGGAGGAAGGUGGGGAUGACGUCAAAUCAUCAUGCCCCUUAUGACCUGGGCUACACACGUGCUACAAUGGCCGGUACAAAGAGUUGCGAAACUGUGAAGUUAAGCUAAUCUCAUAAAGCCGGUCUCAGUUCGGAUUGUAGUCUGCAACUCGACUACAUGAAGUCGGAAUCGCUAGUAAUCGCGAAUCAGAAUGUCGCGGUGAAUACGUUCUCGAGUCUU
rnacentral:rRNA from 1 species